UACAGAGGUGGCAAGCGUUGUUCGGAAUUACUGGGCGUAAAGGGCGCGUAGGCGGCCUUCUAAGUCAGACGUGAAAUCCCCCGGCUUAACCUGGGAACUGCGUCUGAUACUGGAGGGCUUGAGUGCGGGAGAGGGAUGUGGAAUUCCAGGUGUAGCGGUGAAAUGCGUAGAUAUCAGGAGGAACACCAGUGGCGAAGGCGGCUUUCUGGACGGUAACUGACGCUGAGACGCGAAAGCGUGGGGAGCAAACAGG
rnacentral:rRNA from 1 species